rnacentral:piRNA from 1 species
UGAGAAGCCAGCCCCAGGGAAGGAUUUAC